rnacentral:ncRNA from 23 species
CCUUCGCGGUUUGUUUCAGGUGCUCUGCAAUCCUCGAUUGGCAGAGUGAAACAGGGAAGCCGGUGUGGGUCGACAGAUCCGAUCCCGGCGCUGCCCCCGCAACGGUAAAUGAGUCAAGGCUGUGCCUGACGCCACUGUGUUUCGACAUGGGAAGGCGCGCAGCCGGGGUGACCCGCUCAUGAGCCCGGAGACCGGCCUGAAUCAUUCAAUGACAU